CAGUCGCCACGGGAAUACAGAGGGUGCGAGCGUUAAUCGGAUUUACUGGGCGUAAAGCGUGCGUAGGCGGCUUCUUAAGUCGGAUGUGAAAUCCCUGAGCUUAACUUAGGAAUUGCAUUCGAUACUGGGAAGCUAGAGUAUGGGAGAGGAUGGUAGAAUUCCAGGUGUAGCAGUGAAAUGCGUAGAGAUCGGAAGGAACAUCUGUGGCGAAGGCGACUAUCUGGGCCAACACUGACACUGAGGCACGAAAGCGUGGGGAGCAAACAGGAUUAGAUACCCCCGUAGUCCCUGUCUCUUAUAC
rnacentral:rRNA from 1 species